rnacentral:tRNA from 1 species
UCCUGGUGGCUCAGAGGUUAAAGCGUCUGCCUCCAAUGCAGGAGACCCAGGUUCGAUCCCUGGGUCGGGAA